CCUUCGGAUCGAAUCACUUCAUUUUUCAUUUUUACGUCUGAAUUUUGUUAUUUCUUUAUCCUUCUCUUUCGACCACCUCCAUCACCUGUGCAACUACCACCACCACGUCCUCCACGAUUAGCAUUAUUUUGGGAUCAUUAUUCCUCUCCUUCUUCAUUUUGUUUUCGGUAUCAGAUAAGAUUUAGAGAGAUCCAGAGGUUCAAUUUUUAGGGUUCGGUCUUCUGAUAGUUUUUGAUUUUUAGGGUUCGUACUCUAAUGGUUUUCGAUUAUUUAUUGAAGAUCGUGUUGAUUAGGGAUUUUGGUCUUGAACAAUCGCCAUAAAGAUUAAACAGUUAAUACUGGUGGAGGUGGAGGAGGAGGAGGAGAUGGGUAUAACAGAGAUGAGAGCGGUGGAGAUCAUGGUGGUGUAGGAAGAGGUGUCUGUUAGUAGAGAAGAUAAUGAUGAGGUAGAGCUUGUAAAGAUUACUAUAUUCCUAAUAAAUUUUGCAUUUUCAAAUGCAAACGAUAACAGAUUCUCAUAGCUCUGACUCGUGGCUGUUUCGUGCAAUAUUUAGGGAGGAAUUCAAUCUUUUUUAUUGUGAAGUCAUUAGAUUUGGAGACCUCUGCAAAGACCCCCAGUGGCACCAGCUGGGUCAGUGUGUUACAUUAGUAAAUUCAAAAGCUGGCAUUUUACUGAUGAUGAAAUUUUAUUUUCUGGAAAUGCUUGUUUGUCAUUUCAGUUUAGAUACAAAUUUUGAUGUACACAGACAACACUGAGACGAGGCAGAAAAGAGGAUAAAAGCUCUUAUGACAUUAGCUAAGCAUACUUUUGAAAAUAUACUUUUAAUUUUCAUUUUUGAAAAUUUAUGCUGGAUCUGUACACGAUUAAUCUCACAGAAAAUGUAAUUUUGAUUUUGUACCCAUUAAUUGUGGAAUCUAUGAAUAAUAUUAAUCAUUUUCCUUUGAAUUUCA